AGGAAUACAUCGGAAUCUACUUUUUCGUGGGGGAUAACGUAGGGAAACUUACGCUAAUACCGCAUACGACCUACGGGUGAAAGCAGGGGAUCUUCGGACCUUGCGCGAUUGAAUGAGCCGAUGUCGGAUUAGCUAGUUGGCGGGGUAAAGGCCCACCAAGGCGACGAUCCGUAGCUGGUCUGAGAGGAUGAUCAGCCACACUGGAACUGAGACACGGUCCAGACUCCUACGGGAGGCAGCAGUGGGGAAUAUUGGACAAUGGGCGCAAGCCUGAUCCAGCCAUACCGCGUGGGUGAAGAAGGCCUUCGGGUUGUAAAGCCCUUUUGUUGGGAAAGAAAUCCAGCUGGUUAAUACCCGGUUGGGAUGACGGUACCCAAAGAAUAAGCACCGGCUAACUUCGUGCCAGCAGCCGCGGUAAUACGAAGGGUGCAAGCGUUACUCGGAAUUACUGGGCGUAAAGCGUGCGUAGGUGGUCGUUUAAGUCCGUUGUG
rnacentral:rRNA from 1 species